AUUGAACGCUGGCGGCAGGCCUAACACAUGCAAGUCGAGCGGAUGAAGGGAGCUUGCUCCUGGAUUCAGCGGCGGACGGGUGAGUAAUGCCUAGGAAUCUGCCUGGUAGUGGGGGAUAACGUCCGGAAACGGGCGCUAAUACCGCAUACGUCCUGAGGGAGAAAGUGGGGGAUCUUCGGACCUCACGCUAUCAGAUGAGCCUAGGUCGGAUUAGCUAGUUGGUGGGGUAAAGGCCUACCAAGGCGACGAUCCGUAACUGGUCUGAGAGGAUGAUCAGUCACACUGGAACUGAGACACGGUCCAGACUCCUACGGGAGGCAGCAGUGGGGAAUAUUCGACGAUGGGCGAAAGCCUGAUCCAGCCAUGCCGCGUGUGUGAAGAAGGUCUUCGGAUUUUAAAGCACUUUAAGUUGGGAGGAAGGGUAGUAAGUUAAUACCUUGCUGUUUUGACGUUACCAACAGAAUAAGCACCGGCUAACUUCGUG
rnacentral:rRNA from 1 species